UGAAAAACUCGUGGAAGAAUUCUUCUCUUUGCUCCUCAUGUGUUCUUGCCUCCUUGGGUCGAAUCCCAGUCUCCUUAACCUCCUUAGGUCUAAUUAUGUCAAAAGUACUCAAAAUACCAUUUUUCCAUGUGUAUAUCCCAAGUAGGGUCGGACCCAGACAAUUACACCUUCUCCUACAUGAAAAUGGACACUUUCCCCGACAGGACGUGCGCGACUGCAGAUCAAUCACUAAUUGACAGCGCACGUUGACCGGUG
rnacentral:lncRNA from 1 species